rnacentral:lncRNA from 1 species
AGGCUGAUGACCGAUGUGGGUCUCAACUGAAAGACAACGCCACAUGCGAUAUGCCACGGUGGUGUCCUGGACGCGUUGGCAGGUGCUGUCGGGACGAGUGCAUCUGCCAGGCAUUACUAAACCCAUGCGACUCUGGGAAAUCGACAGAUGAAAAUAAUGAUGCACUGGACCCGCCUGUGCCUGGUCAUGAAGGGGAAUGCACUCUUGAGUGCAUGAAGAAAUGCUACAAAACAUGCCCGGAAUUGAAGACAAACCCGGACGACUGCGCAGUGCGUUGUGCACCCGGAUGUCAGACUAACUGUACAAUCCCAUGAAUGUAG